GGCAAUGUAAACCUUCUAAAACAAUAACAAAUCCAACAUCCCCUCAUACGCACAAAACUUUACCACGUUUCAAUUGAAGUCGGCAGUGAGCAAUCUUUCUAUGAUAAUUCUUCUACCUUUUCAAUCUUCGUCUAGGUUUAAAUCAUCUGUUUGCGAUAAUCCCUAACUCAAUUUCAUUUUUUGUGAGAAACAAGCCCUCAUCUUCAAUUGGGUCUGAUUUCAUCUUUUGCGACAAAAAGUCUGAUUUGAUUGGAUUCAAUUUCAUCAUUUGCUACGGACAAUCCUAGCAUUCGAUCGGUGCUUCCUUCAUCUUCAAUUUCGCAGAGUUGUUCUCCUUACUAAAAUCGUCUAGCUUAUUCUCCAAAGUACAACGUUUCUUCUUAUUAUUUGUAUGUUUUUGUUUUAUGUAUCGUGAUGUAUGUUCUUAUUGAUUUGAAGCUCAAUCGAAGCCAUGUUCCUUUGUUUUCUAAAAUUACUGUGAUUUUCAAUAUUGCAUAAGAUUAAUUAUGUGUUUUUUUUUGGAUGAUUAUUGACUUUGUGCAUUCGUUUUCUUUCAAUCUUCAUCUAUCUCACCUAAAAUUAGGGCUUUGUAAAAAUCUAAAAAUACGUUUAUUUUAUUUUAUACCUUCUAUAAUUAUUUUCUUUGCUAUAAAGUUUUGACAUUUUUAAUGUAGAAAUUGACCAUUUGAGUGUCGGUAGUGGUAUUUUGAUAAACAUAUUCAGAUGAGUUUGUCAUGUUGAAGAACACAAAAAUGUUAGUUUUAAGUUAGGUGUAAAUUUGUAUAUAUCUAUAGUUGAACUUCAAUUUCGAUAUCGUGAUGCGUUCGACGCUAUUAAGGGAGUUUAUUAUGUUCAAGAAGAUACGAAUGUUAGUUUUAAGUUAGGUUUAAGUUUUAAACAAUUUACAUCUUGACUUCAAUUUCGAUAACAUUAUGCGUUUCGACACUAUUAACUGUUAGUUUGUUAUGCUGAAAAAGGUGGGAAUGUUAGCUUAAAGUUAAAAAAAUUGGUGUUUGAAUAAGAUUUGGAAUGUCAAUUGAGUAUUAACUUGCAUUGAAAUUGAAUCCAUAAUUGUGAUCUUGAAAACAAAAAUGAGAAUAAUGAAUCAUAAAGUAAUUUGUUGGAGUGUGGGACUAUGUUAUAAGGAUUCAAGUGUUGGCUUUUGUAGACAAAGAAGUAGAUUGUUGGGUUUUGUGGGAGUGUAUUUAUUUAUAUUGUGUCUUGGUUCUUUUUGUUAGUCUAUCUUCAAAUUUAGUAAUAUAUUGUUUUGCACUUCUACCAGGUCUCAAACUACUAAAGCCAUUGCUUGCGUGGUGUAAGAAGCUACAAUGCACAAGUAGUCAAGCACUAAGUAUGAAAAUCAGGUUCUGAGCUUAUGAGAGUGUUUGAAAUCACUUAGCUAAACUGCUUAUCUAAUUAUUUAUGAGAAAAAAUAAGCAGUUUGAAGCUGUGUAUUCCGACUGAUUAUUCAAUAAUCCACAAUGAGUUGAAUGUAACUUGUAAGGUGAAUCAAGCAUCGAUUAUGGUCUUCGGUUGCCUAUUGAUCUAAACAAAUGAACAAAACACUGAUAUAUCCAAUUCCAAUGUUGUAAAAAAGGGUUCGCUUUUUAUUUAAUUUAAUGGUGGAAAACAUACGUGCACGCUUUUUAUCAAGCAUCGAUUAUGGUCUUUUGCCUUUUUUUUCUUUUCAACUCCUCAAAUAAUCUUCGUUGCUGCUAUCUCAUGUGUGCUUUGCAGUUAUGGGAUGCUUUAUCUUAAAGAGUUGUCAUUAGUCUAUGGCAAAGUUGCUUGAAUGAAUGUUUCAACCUUUUCCAACCAUGUUGAAUAAAGAAUGUUUCAUUUGAUGAUGUAGCCAACAGUUAAGUAAGGUAAAACAUCGGGUUUAGAUCUUGCUUUUGAAAUUGAUAUCAGGAAAUUUGAUUUAAGACCGAUAAUUUCAGUUGCUACUCUUUAUAAGUAGUAGUUGUGUAUUCUGUUAAAAUGAAAACUGACUUUUAUAUACCUGGUAUAGCAUGAUUAACAAGACUGACAAAGAAACUCUUACAUCAGACCCAAAUUUGGUUAACUUAUAUUUGACUUAACACUAUACCCAUGAAAGUUAUAGUCAAUCUCCACAUGGUAUUUUUUGAUAUAAAAUUUGGAUUAUUAGGUCUAACUCUAGGCAUUCGAGCAAGUCUUAAAACUACAUUUUCUAGAGAUGUGGAUAGGUGAACUAUGGACAUUGAAUACAGACCUGGAUAGGUGAACUAUGGACUUUGAAUACAGGAAUUUAAUUACGUGAAUAUAAAGGUAUAUUUAAACACCAUAACCCAAAUGGCCAUUGCUUACACGACUUUAUGAUCUUCAAUAUUUAGGUGUAGAUCAAUCUACUAUUGUUAAACUUGUGAGUUUGUGUGUUGUUCUAAAAUAACCUGAACCAUUGAGAAUUUCAAAACCUUAUCUUUUCAUCUAAAGUUGACUCGUGGCCUUAACCCGUGACUAAGUUUAUAAAAAAAUUAUAACUCUUUUUUUAGCGAAGACAUUCAUAUGUCAAACUUUUUGUAUGAUUUUAAUUAUAAAUAGUUUUUAAUAUAAGUAACUUGUUCGAGCCUGGGAAGAAAUCGUGGGUGAUAACCUAGUUUGAUAUAUAAGAAAAACCAAAACAAAACUUAUUUGAAAAGAAAAAAACACUACUAGAAAAGAUCUUAGUUUUGUGAUAUUCCUACCAAAAACUUAUUUGAAAAGAAAAAACAUUACUAAAAAACUUAUAAAAAAACUGUUACUACUUUUACCAAAAUUUUCAACGCAUUUCCUACGAAUGAAAAUACCGACACCUUUCCUACGAAAUUCCGACGAACAAGAAAGGAUCUAAGUUUUGUGAUAAA
rnacentral:lncRNA from 1 species